rnacentral:rRNA from 1 species
GACGAACGCUGGCGGCGUGCCUAAUACAUGCAAGUAGAACGCUGAAGGAGGAGCUUGCUUCUCUGGAUGAGUUGCGAACGGGUGAGUAACGCGUAGGUAACCUGCCUGGUAGCGGGGGAUAACUAUUGGAAACGAUAGCUAAUACCGCAUAAUAGUAGAUGUUGCAUGACAUUUGCUUAAAAGGUGCAAUUGCAUCACUACCAGAUGGACCUGCGUUGUAUUAGCUAGUUGGUGGGGUAACGGCUCACCAAGGCGACGAUACAUAGACGAGCUGAGAGGGGGAUCGGCCACCCUGGGACUGGGGCACGGCCCAGACUCCUACCGGGAGCAGCAGUAGGGGAUCUUCGGCAAUGGGCGGAAGGCUGACCGAACAACGCCGCGGGGGGGAAAGAGGGUCUCGGAUCGGAAAGGUCUGUUGUAAGGGGAGAACGAGUGUGAGGGUGGAAAGUUCACGCUGUGACGGUAUCUAACCAGAAAGGGACGGCUAACUACGUG